rnacentral:rRNA from 1 species
GAAGAGAGAGUUCAAGAGUACGUGAAACCGUUCAGGGGUAAACCUGAGAAACCCAAAAGAUCGAAUGGGGAGAUUCAUCGCAAACGGAAUCGAUUCCCGUGCGGUACGCGAUGGCCGGUGCUUCGGUGCCGCGUCACGCUGUCGCUGCGGUAUUAUCGACUACGUCGGCGUGCACUUCUCCCCUAGUAGGACGUCGCGACCCGUUGGGUGCCGGCCUACGGCCCGGUCGGUCGACUGUCGCGUCGCGUUCACGCGCGUUCGCGGCAGACCAUCGGUCGCCUGGCCGGCUGCCCGGCGGUAUAGAUCAUUAUUGAACGGUAUUGGGCCGCAUUAUGUGCGUCCUGGCUCGUCGGCAGGCUCGCCUCGCUCGGUAUUACGGACCUAGCGCCGUUGCCGAGCGCUCGGUGGGCCGUUAGUCGACGAUGUCCUCGGACUGGCUCAAGCAUUCGAACGGAUGUACCGGUCGGCGACGCUACUGCUUUGGGUACUUUCAGGACCCGUCUUG